rnacentral:rRNA from 1 species
CAGCCGCCACGGUAAUAUGUAGGGUGCAAGCGUUAAUCGGAAUUACUGGGCAUAAAGCGUGCGUAGGCGGUUCUAUAAGACAGAUGUGAAAUCCCCGGGCUCAACCUGGGAACUGCAUUUGUGACUGUAGAGCUGGAGUGCGGCAGAGGGGGAUGGAAUUCUGCGUGUAGCAGUGAAAUGCGUAGAUAUGCGGAGGAACACCGAUGGCGAAGGCAAUCCCCUGGGCCUGCACUGACGCUCAUGCACGAAAGCGGGGGGAGCAAACAGGAUUAGAUACCCGCGUAGUCCCUGUCUCUUAUAC